UACGUAGGGUGCAAGCGUUGUCCGGAAUUAUUGGGCGUAAAGAGCUCGUAGGCGGUUCGUCACGUCGGCUGUGAAAACCUGAGGCUCAACCUCAGGCCUGCAGUCGAUACGGGCGGACUUGAGUACUGCAGGGGAGACUGGAAUUCCUGGUGUAGCGGUGAAAUGCGCAGAUAUCAGGAGGAACACCGGUGGCGAAGGCGGGUCUCUGGGCCGAUACUGACGCUGAGGAGCGAAAGCGUGGGGAGCGAACAGG
rnacentral:rRNA from 1 species